rnacentral:rRNA from 1 species
CCUACGGGAGGCAGCAGUGAGGAAUAUUGGUCAAUGGACGAGAGUCUGAACCAGCCAAGUAGCGUGAAGGAUGACUGCCCUAUGGGUUGUAUACUUCUUUUAUAAAGGAAUAAAACGAGGCACGUGUGCCUUUUUGCAUGUACUUUAUGAAUAAGGAUCGGCUAACUCCGUGCCAGCAGCCGCGGUAAUACGGAGGAUGCGAGCGUUAUCCGGAUUUAUUGGGGUUAAAGGGUGCGCAGGCGGAGGCACAAGUCAGCGGUAAAAUCGCGGGGCUCAACCCCGCUCCGCCGUUGAAACUGUGUCCCUUGAGUGCGCGAAGGGUAGGCGGAAUGCGUGGUGUAGCGGUGAAAUGCAUAGAUAUCACGCAGAACUCCGAUCGCGAAGGCAGCCUACCGGCGCGCAACUGACGCUCAUGCACGAAAGCGUGGGUAUCGAACAGGAUUAGAUACCCGGGUAGUC